UCGAGAAUCUUUCACAAUGGGCGAAAGCCUGAUGGAGCGACGCCGCGUGGAGGUUAAGGUCUUCGGAUUGUAAACUCCUGUCAUGCGAGAACAAAGCCCGCAAGGGUGUGAUAGUACCGCAAGAGGAAGAGACGGCUAACUCUGUGCCAGCAGCCGCGGUAAUACAGAGGUCUCAAGCGUUGUUCGGAAUUACUGGGCGUAAAGGGUGCGCAGGCCGCGCGGGCAGUCAAAUGUGAAAUCCAGAGGCUCAACCUCUGAAUUGCGCUUGAUACUUCCGUGCUAGAACUUUGGAGAGGGAUCUGGAAUUCUCGGUGUAGCAGUGAAAUGCGUGGAUAUCGAGAAGAACACUCAGGGCGAAGGCAAGAUCCUGGACAAAUGUUGACGCUCAUGCACGAAGGCUAGGGUAGCGAACGGG
rnacentral:rRNA from 1 species